rnacentral:rRNA from 1 species
AUUGAACGCUGGCGGCAUGCCUUACACAUGCAAGUCGAACGGUAACAGGUCUCGGACGCUGACGAGUGGCGAACGGGUGAGUAAUACAUCGGAACGUGCCCAGUCGUGGGGGAUAACUACUCGAAAGAGUAGCUAAUACCGCAUACGAUCUGAGGAUGAAAGCGGGGGACCUUCGGGCCUCGCGCGAUUGGAGCGGCCGAUGGCAGAUUAGGUAGUUGGUGGGAUAAAAGCUUACCAAGCCGACGAUCUGUAGCUGGUCUGAGAGGACGACCAGCCACACUGGGGACUGAGACACGGCCCAGACUCCUACGGGAGGCAGCAGUGGGGAAUUUUGGACAAUGGGCGAAAGCCUGAUCCAGCAAUGCCGCGUGCAGGAUGAAGGCCUUCGGGUUGUAAACUGCUUUUGUACGGAACGAAAAAGCUCCUUCUAAUACAGGGGGCCCAUGACGGUACCGUAAGAAUA